GACGAACCGUGCGAACGUUAUUCGGAAUCACUGGGCUUAAAGCGCGUGUAGGCGGGCCGGCACGUCCGUCGCUGAAAUCCCCCGGCUCAACCGGGGAACUGGCGGGGAUACGACCGUCCUGGAGGGACGUAGGGGGACCUGGAACUUCCGGUGGAGCGGUGAAAUGCGUUGAGAUCGGAAGGAACGCCCGUGGCGAAAGCGAGGUCCUGGACGUUUUCUGACGCUGAGACGCGAAAGCCAGGGGAGCGAACGGG
rnacentral:rRNA from 1 species